UACGUAGGGGGCAAGCGUUGUCCGGAAUCAUUGGGCGUAAAGCGCGUGUAGGCGGUCCGGUAAGUCCGCUGUGAAAGUUGGGGGCUCAACCCUCGGAUGCCGGUGGAUACUGUCGGGCUUGAGUACGGAAGAGGCGAGUGGAAUUCCUGGUGUAGCGGUGAAAUGCGCAGAUAUCAGGAGGAACACCAAUUGCGAAGGCAGCUCGCUGGGACGUUACUGACGCUGAGACGCGAAAGCGUGGGGAGCAAACAGG
rnacentral:rRNA from 1 species